CUGAGAGGGGCGGUUCAGCUCAUUUACUUCCUCACCUGACGUUUCGUCGCAGUGAGGAGCCUUUCUUUCUCCGCUUUGAAAACCUUUCACCUGAUUAACUUGUUUUAUCAACACUUUAACCUCAGUUUCUUCCCUUAUAUUUAUACUUUCAUAACUUUUUGCCGUAUGGGACGGAACGUAUUUUCUCCAGUCUACUAUGGAUGAGGAGAUAGAGGAGGGGGGUCCUACCUCUAAGACCGCCCUGUCUGGGGAACAUGGCCGCCGGAGAAAAGCUAAAAGCCCAGAGCAGCAGCAGAGAGCAGACUCCCUGGACCCAGCUGUGUCUCCAUGAAGAGUGACUGGUCUAUGGAUCUUCCUUACCAGUUUAAAGAUGGAAAUCACCAACCUUCUAAGGAAAGUAUGGAAGGGGAGAUUUAGAUGUACCUGGUCAGGUCUUGGUCAGCCUUCAAAUCCCAGAUGUGGAGAGUGCAGGGAUACCUCACAGAGAAGACACUAAAGAGUCAUCUCUCAUUCAUCGAGUGGACUCUUUGGUUUGCGAAUGACCACAAAGAUUCUCCCAUAGGCAGAUUGCUGCAUGGCAUUCACCAAGCAGUCUUCCUUGUGGUCACUUGCCAUAACACUGUCAUGUGUUUUAAGAAAACGCCAUCAGUAACAUUUAAAUUGAGUUGAUGUGGACGGCUCUUUUUUUUGUCCGAUUUCUUCAGUGUUCAGUGCCUGUUUGUGAGAUAUGCAUUGUUUGAAAGAUAAGCCUUUGAUUUUGUUUAAUUUUAAUAUGCCUUUCAUCAACAGUGGUUUGGGGUUUUAUAACAACAAUUAAAGUGCUUAACUACUGGUGAACGAUGUUGCAGAACAUAUAUGGUUUGUGUUGAUUGCAUGGAAAAGGAAUAACCACUUACAACUUAUAUGGUAAGAGCCUGGUAAUACCAUGGAAACAAACUAGGCUUCCUUUAACAGUACAGUUUCAGCUUACUUACUGAGUAAAUUGUCGUGUUUUACUU
ensembl:lncRNA